rnacentral:rRNA from 1 species
CGCGUGCACUGGCUCGGCCGGGCCUUUCCUUCUGGAGAACCCGGUGCCCUUUAUUGGGUGUCGUGGGGAACCAGGACUUUUACUCUGAAUAAAUUAGAUCGCUUAAAGAAGGCUCUUGCUUGAAUAUUCUAGCAUGGAAUAAUAGAAUAGGACGUGUGGUUCUAUUUUGUUGGUUUCUAGGACCGCCGUAAUGAUUAAUAGGGACAGUCGGGGGCAUCAGUAUUCAAUUGUCAGAGGUGAAAUUCUUGGAUUUAUUGAAGACUAACUACUGCGAAAGCAUUUGCCAAGGAUGUUUUCAUUAAUCAGGAACGAAAGUUAGGGGAUCGAAGACGAUCAGAUACCGUCGUAGUCUUAACCAUAAACUAUGCCGAUUAGGGAUCGGACGGUGUUAUUUUUUGACCCGUUCGGCACCUUACGAUAAAUCAAAAUGUUUGGGCUCCUGGGGGAGUAUGGUCGCAAGGCUGAAACUUAAAGAAAUUGACGGAAGGACACCACCAGGGGUGGAGCCUGCGGCUUAAUUUGACUCAACACGGGGAAACUCACCAGGUCCAGACAAAAUGAGGAUUGACAGAUUGAGAGCUCUUUCUUGAUUUUUUGGUUGGUGGUGCAUGGCCGUUCUUAGUUGGUGGAGUGAUUUGUCUGCUUAAUUGCGAUAACGAACGAGACCUUAACCUGCUAAAUAGCCCGUGCCGCUUUGGCGGCUCGCUGGCUUCUUAGAGGGACUAUCGG